rnacentral:rRNA from 1 species
AAAACUUGUCGCCCCACUUUUAAAGGGCCGCUUGACAAAAAAGGAAGAGGAGGCUAUAACUAGCCUCCUCCGAGAGACCUGAAAAAAUCAAAGCAGGGAAAGCGGGGGAGGGGUUGACAGGGAUGAUCGGGAAGUGUAGGAUCAAACGGUUGACUCUUUCGGGGAAGAAAAAAGCCCUGAAGAGAAAGACGCCCUGUAGGAAACGCAGGGAGAGCGUCUCGGAUCAUUGACAACUAAAUAGGAGCAGCAACGUCCAAGUUAAACGGGCCCUGAUCCAACGAAACACAAGUAAUAAAAUGAAAUCUGGAGAGUUUGAUCCUGGCUCAGAACGAACGCUGGCGGCGUGCCUAACACAUG